rnacentral:tRNA from 1 species
GCCGUGGUGGUGGAACUGGUAGACACGCUGUCUUGAGGGGGCAGUGGGAGCAAUCCNGUGCGGGUUCGAGUCCCGCCCUCGGCACCA